UACGUAGGGGGCAAGCGUUGUCCGGAAUCAUUGGGCGUAAAGAGCGCGUAGGCGGUCCGGUAAGUCGGUUGUGAAAGCUGGGGGCUCAACCCUCAGAGGCCGACCGAUACUGUCGGGCUAGAGUCCGGAAGAGGCGAGUGGAAUUCCUGGUGUAGCGGUGAAAUGCGCAGAUAUCAGGAAGAACACCAAUGGCGAAAGCAGCUUUCUGGGACGGUACUGACGCUGAGACGCGAAAGCGUGGGGAGCGAACAGG
rnacentral:rRNA from 1 species